GACGAACGCUGGCGGCGUGCUUAACACAUGCCAGUCGAACGGAAAGGCCCUGCUUUUGUGGGGUGCUCGAUUGGCGAACGGGUGAGUAACACGUGAGUAACCUGCCCUUGACUUUGGGAUAACUUCAGGAAACUGGGGCUAAUACCGGAUAGGAGCUCCUGCUGCAUGGUGGGGGUUGGAAAGUUUCGGCGGUUGGGGCUGGACUCGCGGCUUAUCAGCUUGUUGGUGGGGUAGUGGCUUACCAAGGCUUUGACGGGUAGCCGGCCUGAGAGGGUGACCGGCCACAUUGGGACUGAGAGACGGCCCAGACUCCUACGGGAGGCAGCAGUGGGGAAUAUUGCACAAUGGGCGGAAGCCUGAUGCAGCAACGCCGCGUGCGGGAUGACGGCCUUCGGGUUGUAAACCGCUUUCGCCUGUGACGAAGCGUGAGUGACGGUAAUGGGUAAAGAAGCACCGGCUAACUACGUG
rnacentral:rRNA from 1 species